UCUGUCAUACAGGUAAGCGAUAUCGAUCAUCAAUCAAUUAUUGUAAACCAAUGGACAACCAAUCAUUAUUGGUGAAAUUGAUUUUUUUUGUAAACAGAUAUUGAUGAAUGCGUCAGUCACCCAUGUCAGAAUAACGGAUCAUGUAUAGAUCUGAUUAACCAGUUCCAGUGUCAAUGUGUUCCAGGAUUUACGGGCAUACUCUGUGAAACAGAUAUCAAUGAAUGCGCCAGUAAUCCUUGUGUUAAUAUGGGUACCUGUAACGAUCUUGUGAACCAAUUCACUUGUUCCUGUCGAGCCGGAUUCACCGGAACGUUAUGCGAAAUUGACAUUGAUGAAUGCGCCUCGAGUCCUUGUUCCGUUUUCUUUGACUGUGAGGACCGUGUGAAUGCCUACUACUGCAAGCUGAUUAUAUGGAAAGUGGCCCUAAUCGUCUCUAGUAUUGCUUUAUUUAACUUGUUAGUAAUCUCCAGAGUCAUAUUCUUAGUGAAACGGCGAAAAUACAGGGAUGUUGACCACACUUGGUUGUCAAAUUUUAUCAACAUCGGUAAACCGGAUGUUCAAACAAGAGUUAUAUGAGUAG